UGGUCUCUCAUUAGCUUAUUGGCUUUGAGAAUUAUAAUAUAUGGAGUCAAUUAAUGGAAAUUGCUCUUUUUACCAAAAAUAAACAUGGAUAUGUUGAUGGCACUUACUUACGAGUUGAUCUUCCAACUGGUCUUCAUCCUCAAUGGGACUGUUGCAAUGCUAUUUUCCUCUCUUGGAUCCUCAACAUCGUUUGCCAAGAACUUUCAGUUGGUAUUGUUUUUGCUUCGAGUGCCUGCCUUGUGUGGAAGGAUCUUCAAGAACACUAUAGCAAAGUCGAUGGGUCCAAAAUUUAUUAUCUCCAUCACACUAUUUCUUCUCACACUCAAGGUACUUCUUCCAUAUCCACGUAUUUCACAUAGCUCUGCCUUUUGUGGGAUGAGUAUGAUGUUUUAGUGUCUUGCUCUCCAUGUGACUGUGAAAAUGCUCGAACCACAUCUGCCUCUUUUCUUCAACAACGUCUCUUUCAAUUUCUAAUGGGCCUCAAUGAUUCCUAUUCUGCUGUGCGUAGUCAAAUAUUGCUUAUGCAACCAUUGCCUUCAAUCAAUCAAACCUACUCCAUUUUUGUUCAGGAAGAAUCUCAAUGUCAACUCUCAUCUCCACUGCUUUCUGCAUCUGAACCUACAACCCUUUACUCCUCGACUACUACCACUAGUAGCUCCAAGCGUAGAUUCAAUGGCACUUGUGAUCACUAUCAUGUCUAGGGUCAUAAACGUGAAAACUGUUAUAAAUUGAUUGGUUUCCCUCCUGAUUUUAAGUUCACUCGCAAGAAAUUAGUUGCUACUAAUGUCACCUAUUCUAUUGAUUCAGUUGAUCCUGUGAUUCCAUCCUCUGUUCAGGCUCCAUCUGCUCCUACUUUAACAUCAGAACAAUAUUAGCAACUUUUGACUAUUUUGCAGAAGGAUUCUUCUAUUUCUGCUGCUGCUCACAUGGCUGGUACGCCCUUUUCCUCUACAUUAUUUUGCUGGAUCCUUGACACAGGAGCUACCAACCAUAUGACAUUUGAUUUUCAAUGCUUGAAUUCUUCUGUUGCUCUUGCUCCUAACAGCUCUUAUGUUCAAUUGUCUAAUGGGAAAUCAGCCUCUGUUACUC
rnacentral:lncRNA from 1 species